GUGCUCACUUUGGCAGCACAUACACUAAAAAUUGAGAUGAUAUAGCAAAAAUUAAUAUGACCCCUGCACAAAGAUGACAUGUAAGUCUGUGAAGCAUUCCAUAUUCUC